GAGUUAUCCCCGCGGUGGUGUUGGGAGGGAAUUAUCUCUUAUUCUUUUUGCUUUUUCUAUAUUCUGAAAGGGCAGCAGAUGAAAUAGUUUUUGUUUUAAGUGGAGAACCUGAACUCCACCUGCUGAAAAGCCACAGGCUGAAGGAUCUGCUGCUGACUGAACACCUGCUUGGUGGGUUCAGCCAGAGAACAAAGUGAGGAGGAGACCGUCUGUUGUGCUUCUGCUUCCUACUGAUUACAAAUGUAUGCUGAGAAAAUUGUAACAGAGGGGAAGAUGGAAGCAAGCUUGAUAAAUGAGGCCCCAGGGCAGGAGGGAUCAGGGACCUGGAUGGGGAGGCAUGAUGGCACAGCAACAAUCCCAGAAAAAUUUGCAGAGCUGAAGGAAAGAAGCAGCAAAGAGAGAAAAAAUGCAUGCAUGCAAAUUGCUUUGGGGGUGUUUUUCAUGAGGAAAUAAAACAUGGUCAAAAGCCCCAAACGUGGAUUUUGCACAAUUUAGGACUUUAAUUUUAACAAGUUGUUUAGAAAGAUUAAUCUUUUUAAAGC
rnacentral:lncRNA from 1 species